rnacentral:rRNA from 1 species
UGGCGUAAACAAAGGGAAGCGAACACGUGAGUGCAAGCGAAUCCCAAAAAUAACGUCUCAGUUCGGAUUGUAGUCUGCAACUCGACUACAUGAAGCUGGAAUCGCUAGUAAUCGCGGAUCAGAAUGCCGCGGUGAAUACGUUCCCGGGUCUUGUACACACCGCCCGUCACACCAUGGGAGUCAGUAACGCCCGAAGCCGGUGACCUAACCGAAAGGGAGGAGCCGUCGAAGGUGGGACCGAUAACUGGGGUGAAGUCGUAACAAGGUAAC